rnacentral:rRNA from 1 species
UACCAGCACCCCGAGUGGUCGGGACGAUUAUUGGGCCUAAAGCAUCCGUAGCCGGUUUUACAAGUCCCCCGUUAAAUCCAGCUGCUUAACAGAUGGGCUGCGGAGGAUACUAUAAGACUAGGAGGCAGGAGAGGCAAGCGGUACUCAGUGGGUAGGGGUAAAAUCCGUUGAUCCAUUGAAGACCACCAGUGGCGAAGGCGGCUUGCCAGAAUGCGCUCGACGGUGAGGGAUGAAAGCUGGGGGAGCAACCGGG